rnacentral:rRNA from 1 species
CCUACGGGUGGCAGCAGUGAGGAAUAUUGGUCAAUGGGCGAGAGCCUGAACCAGCCAAGUCGCGUGAAGGAUGACGGCCCUACGGGUUGUAAACUUCUUUUGUCGGGGAGCAAAAGACGCCACGCGUGGCGUUCCGAGAGUACCCGAAGAAAAAGCAUCGGCUAACUCCGUGCCAGCAGCCGCGGUAAUACGGAGGAUGCGAGCGUUAUCCGGAUUUAUUGGGUUUAAAGGGUGCGCAGGCGGAAGAUCAAGUCAGCGGUAAAAUUGAGAGGCUCAACCUCUUCGAGCCGUUGAAACUGGUGUUCUUGAGUGAGCGAGAAGUAUGCGGAAUGCGUGGUGUAGCGGUGAAAUGCAUAGAUAUCACGCAGAACUCCGAUUGCGAAGGCAGCAUACCGGCGCUCAACUGACGCUCAUGCACGAAAGUGUGGGUAUCGAACAGGAUUAGAUACCCGGGUAGUC